AUUUUGAGAUGUGACAAAAUAAACAUUGGUUUGUUGUAAUGCUUUACAAUUAUAAAUUGCAUACGUUUAUAAUGUGUUUUGCAUAUUUUGUGCUGUCGUGCCCACUGGAGCCUUGCUUGAAGCACAUUUGGCACCAAUAACAGCCUCAAGUCUUUUUGAGUAUGAUGCUGCAAGCUUGGCACACCUAUUUUUGGGCAGUUUCUUCUAUUCUUCUUUGCAGAACCUCUCAAGCUCCACCAGGUUGAAUGAGGAACGUUGUUGCACGGCCAUUUUCAGAUCUCUCCAGAGAUGUUCAACUCUGGGCUCUGGCUGGGCCAGUCAAGGGCAUUCACAGAGUUGUCCUUUGUUGUUGUGGCUGUGUGCUUUGGGUCGUUGAAGAUGAAUCGUCGGCUCAGUCUGAGGUCCACAGCACUCGAGCUGUGUUUUAUCAAGGAUGUCUCUGUACAUUGCUGCAUUCAUCUUUCCCUUGAUCCUGACUAGUCUUCCAGUUCCUUCCACUGAAAUCAUUCCCAUAGCAUGAUGCUGCCAUACCAGGACAUAUGCAUUCGUUUUUUUUUUAUAAAACUAUAAUUUCCAAUUCCUUUCAUAAUAAACGGAGAUGGAUGGUUAGUCCAUUCUUUUCACUACACCCAGCCAUUAUAGACCCUUUAGGUUCAACCUUUUUCUUUUUUCACUUCCUUCUUCCAAGUAUCUCACCCUGACACUUAAAGUUUCUCCCUCUUUAAGGAAUAUGUGCUCUUUUAGUUAUUCUUCAACAACCUUGUUUUCAUAACCUUAAUUUUAACUCUUUUUUUUUUUCUUCAUUAUAACUACUUCUCACAGUAUGCCUCUAUCAAAUGGUUAGUCUGAGAUCCCCCCCAAAAAAUAUUAUCAGUAUUGUUUCAGUCCCACUUACCUUCACUGUGCAUCCGUGCGCUUAUUAUUCUCAUCAUUUAUCUUCCACUGAAUGUAACUACGAUUGGUACUAGAGAAUUGUUGGCAGUCAAGUUAGCUUUGAGAAGUGGCGUCAUUGAUUGGAGGGUUGAGGGGGACCUUUUAUUGUCUGGACUGACCACAAGAACCUUGAAUACAUCAGAUCCGCCAUACGACUUAACUCUAGGCACUUUUUUUCAGUCAGUUCGUGUUUUUUUUUUUUUUUUUCCCUAUCGUCCAGGUUCCAAGAACAUCAAACGGUCCGCAUGGCCUUAGAUGGGGUAGUGCCUCCGCCCGGAUGUCCACCAGGUCAUUUAUUCGUGCCAGAGAAAUUGCAGUCCAACGUCAUCCGGUGGGGUCAUUGUUCCAAGGUGACUUGUCAUUCAGGAGUCAAUGGUACCAUUUUUCUCAUUAAGCAACGAUUCUGGUCACAAACUAUGGUUCGCGACACUUGUUGUUUUGUAUUGGCCUGCUCUGUCUGUGCCAGUUGUAAGUCUUCCACUCAUCUUCCUGCUAGGUUCCUUCAACCAUUGUCAGUUCCUUCCAGACCCUGGUCACAUAUUGCGCUAGAUUUCGUGACAGGUCUCCCUGCCCUAUAGGGUAACACAGUGGUUUUAAUCGUGGUGGAGAGGUUCUUCCAUCUGCCCAAAUUACCAUCAGCCAUAGAGACAGCGGUUGCAGUCAUAGACCACGUGAUUCGUAUCCAUGGCCUCCCGUAAGACAUGGUCUCUCACAGAGGUCCCCAGUUUAUUUCUAAAUUUUGGAGAGCGUUUUGUUGAUUGCUGGGGGCAAAUGUCAGUUUCUUCUGGGUUUCAUCCCCAGAGCAACGGUCAGACGGAGAGGGUCAACCAAGAUUUGAAACUAGUGUUGUGAUGUUAGCGUCACAGAAUCCAUCCUCUUACAGUCAGCAUAUCUCAUGGUUUGAGUACGCGCAUAACUCAAAACCAGUGUCUUCCACAGGCCUAUCUCCAUUUGAGUAUAGUUUAGGGUCCCAGCCAUCAAUAUUUCCUAAUCUGGAAUCCGAGAUUGUGGUCCCCUCUGCCCACGAAUUCAUCCAGGGGGACCCUUCUCCAGAAAAUUGGCUCUGAAAUUCAUCGGCCCGUUUACCAUCAUUAAGGUCCUUAGUCUGGUGACGUUCCGCCUCAAAUGUCCUCUGGCGUACCGGAGGAUUCACCCCGCCUUCCAUGUGUCUAAAAUCAUGCUAGUUUUUCGUCCAGCUAUUAGUCCACCUGUCCCGGUUCCCCCACCACUGCGAAUCGUAGAUGGGGAACCAGCCUAUUCGGAUAAUCGUAUCCUGCACUCAAGGCGGAGGGGACGUGGAUUCCAGUACUUGGUGGGCUGGGAGGGUUACGGUCCAGAGGAGAGGAGUUGGGUUCCUUCCCGGGACAUAUUGGAUCGUUCACUGAUCAAUGAUAACAGUUGCCAGGUAGGACUCUCUGAGAGUGGCAGGUGACGCUCCUAGGGGGCGGGGUAAUGUCACGGUUUGCGAGUUACUUGCUUAUUCUUGCUUGCUGAUCUGAUUGCCUAUCAGCGUCAGCUACGCCGACGAGCGCUCAGAUCAGACGCAGGUGUGUCUCAUUUAUUUAGUCCUAUAUGUAGUGAUGUGUUGCUCAUGUUCAGUGUCAGAUCGUUUGGGUUGCUGGUUCUUGUACUGAUUUCGUGUUCUGUGCAGUUUUGUUCCUGUUCCCGGUUUUUGUUCUGCCUGAGCUGUGGUCUGCCUGUGUUGAGGAUAUUCACAGCGCGUUAUUUCUCCUCCACCCCGCUUGGAUUCUACUUUGCAGUUCUCGUCUUCCCUAGGACCUGCUGGGUGCCUGUUUAUUUGCCAGCUAUUCUGUUUGUUCUCCUGACUGUUUACAAUUAAACUUUAUUUCAACUCGCUACUGGACUCGGUGUAUGCUUCCUGACACAUAGUAACAUUAUUUUUUUUUAUUAUCACAACCUAUUAUUGGAAAAAAAGUUAAGAUUUACUGUACAUUGUACUGUGUAUAUAUUGUGGAAAAAUAAACCUUUUUUAUAAAAGUAAA